CUCUUUCUCGAUUCAGUGGAUGGUGGUGCAUGGCCGUUCUUAGUUGGUGGAGYGAUCUGUCUGGUUAAUUCCGAUAACGAACGAGACUCUCCCCUGCUAACUAGUCGGUUGGAUCUUGAUCAGUGGGUUGAGUGCCGAGUAACUCUCGCUGUGCGUGGUGUGCGUCUCGUUCCUUACGGGGCGUUUCGUACUCAUGUGUGGCGUUGGAUGCCUUGGAUCACACUGCACCCCAAGUCCGCCGCUUUGCUAUAACUCUUCUUAGAGGGAUUCACGGCACUGAAGCCGUAAGAGACUGAGAGCAAUAACAGGUCUGUGAUGCCCUUAGAUGCUCUGGGCCGCACGCGCGCUACAAUGCCGGGCACAGCAGGUGUUUCUCCUGCUCCGACAGGAGCGGGUAACCCUCUGAAAGCCAGUGUUCUUGCAAGUGCUUCCUCCCUCGUGGAGUUGCACAGAGGCGUGCUUGGGCCUGGGACUUGCAAUUCUUUCCCACCAACGAGGAAUGCCUAGUAGCGGCGGGUCACUGAGCCCGCUGUGACUCAGUCCCUGCCCUUUGUACACACCGCCCGUCGCUACUACCGAUUGGGUGUACCAGUGAGAGCCUUGGACUGGCGUCCGGUGUUGCUCGCAAGAGUGACAAGCGGGUCCGACGGAAAGAGGUCCGAACUGGUGCACUUAGAGGAAGUAAAAGUCGUAACA
rnacentral:rRNA from 1 species